GAUGAACGCUAGCUACAGGCUUAACACAUGCAAGUCGAGGGGCAUCAGGAAGAAAGCUUGCUUUCUUUGCUGGCGACCGGCGCACGGGUGAGUAACACGUAUCCAACCUGCCCUUUACUCGGGGAUAGCCUUUCGAAAGAAAGAUUAAUACCCGAUGGUAUAAUUAUUCCGCAUGGUUUGAUUAUUAAAGGAUUCCGGUAAAGGAUGGGGAUGCGUUCCAUUAGGUUGUUGGUGAGGUAACGGCUCACCAAGCCUUCGAUGGAUAGGGGUUCUGAGAGGAAGGUCCCCCACAUUGGAACUGAGACACGGUCCAAACUCCUACGGGAGGCAGCAGUGAGGAAUAUUGGUCAAUGGGCGCGAGCCUGAACCAGCCAAGUAGCGUGAAGGAUGACUGCCCUAUGGGUUGUAAACUUCUUUUAUAUUAGAAUAAAGUGCAGUAUGUAUACUGUUUUGUAUGUAUAAUAUGAAUAAGGAUCGGCUAACUCCGUGCCAGCAGCCGCGGUAAUACGGAGGAUCCGAGCGUUAUCCGGAUUUAUUGGGUUUAAAGGGAGCGUAGGUGGACUGGUAAGUCAGUUGUGAAAGUUUGCGGCUCAACCGUAAAAUUGCAGUUGAUACUGUCAGUCUUGAG
rnacentral:rRNA from 1 species